rnacentral:rRNA from 1 species
GGCCUAACACAUGCGAGUCGAGCGGAUGACGGGAGCUUGCUCCUUGAUUCAGCGGCGGACGGGUGAGUAAUGCCUAGGAAUCUGCCUGGUAGUGGGGGACAACGUUUCGAAAGGAACGCUAAUACCGCAUACGUCCUACGGGAGAAAGCAGGGGACCUUCGGGCCUUGCGCUAUCAGAUGAGCCUAGGUCGGAUUAGCUAGUUGGUGGGGUAAUGGCUCACCAAGGCGACGAUCCGUAACUGGUCUGAGAGGAUGAUCAGUCACACUGGAACUGAGACACGGUCCAGACUCCUACGGGAGGCAGCAGUGGGGAAUAUUGGACAAUGGGCGAAAGCCUGAUCCAGCCAUGCCGCGUGUGUGAAGAAGGUCUUCGGAUUGUAAAGCACUUUAAGUUGGGAGGAAGGGCAGUAAGYUAAUACCUUGCUGUUUUGACGUUACCGACAGAAUAAGCACCGGCUAACUCUGUGCCAGCAGCCGCGGUAAUACAGAGGGUGCAAGCGUUAAUCGGAAUUACUGGGCGUAAAGCGCGCGUAGGUGGUUUGUUAAGUUGGAUGUGAAAGCCCCGGGCUCAACCUGGGAACUGCAUCCAAAACUGGCAAGCUAGAGUACGGUAGAGGGUGGUGGAAUUUCCUGUGUAGCGGUGAAAUGCGUAGAUAUAGGAAGGAACACCAGUGGCGAAGGCGACCACCUGGACUGAUACUGACACUGAGGUGCGAAAGCGUGGGGAGCAAACAGGAUUAGAACCCCCUGGUAGA